GACGAACGCUGGCGGCGUGCUUAACGCAUGCAAGUCGAACGGGAAGGCCCUGCGGUUGUUGGGGGCGCGAGUGGCGAAGGGAUAAGUAACACGUGAGUAACCUGCCCGGGACUUGGGGAUAACUUCAGGAAACUGGUGCUCAUACCGGAUACGAGCGCCGGCGGCAUGGUGGGGGGUGGAGAGUGUCGGCGGUUGGGGAUGGACUCGCGGCGUGUCAGCUUGUUGGUGGGGUAGUGGCUUACCAAGGCAUUGACGGGUGGCCGGCCUGGGAGGGUGGCCGGCCACCUUGGGACUGAGAUACGCCCCAGACUCAUACGGGAGGGAGGCGUGAGGAAUGUUGCACCAUGGGCGGAAGCAUGACGCAGCGACGCAGGCUGCGGGAUGACGGCCUUCGGGUUGUAAACAGACUCCGCUUGUGACGAAGCGUGAGUGACGGUAAUCGGUAAAGAAGCACCGGCUAACUACGUG
rnacentral:rRNA from 1 species